rnacentral:misc_RNA from 1 species
GGCAAUAAUACAAGAGGCUAGAGUUCCUCUGCAGGUUGGAACACAUUCUUUCGGGGGCAGUAUGGAACUGGAUGAACUGGAUGAAGCUGAUAUUGAAGAUGUAAUCGAAACAAGUGCUGAUUUUGCUGGUCUACUGUGAUGUGUUACACAAUGCUGUAAUUACCAUUAGGGUGAAAGAAGAGAACAAUUGGCAAGUGCUGUAAUAUCCUGAGUAGACACUCAAGAUCACACAAUGAUUUGC